rnacentral:rRNA from 1 species
CCUACGGGAGGCAGCAGUGAGGAAUAUUGGUCAAUGGACGAGAGUCUGAACCAGCCAAGUAGCGUGAAGGAUGACUGCCCUAUGGGUUGUAAACUUCUUUUAUAUGGGAAUAAAAUGUUCCACGUGUGGGAUUUUGUAUGUACCAUAUGAAUAAGGAUCGGCUAACUCCGUGCCAGCAGCCGCGGUAAUACGGAGGAUCCGAGCGUUAUCCGGAUUUAUUGGGUUUAAAGGGAGCGUAGGUGGAUUGUUAAGUCAGUUGUGAAAGUUUGCGGCUCAACCGUAAAAUUGCAGUUGAAACUGGCAGGCUUGAGUACAGGAGAGGUGGGCGGAAUUCGUGGUGUAGCGGUGAAAUGCUUAGAUAUCACGAAGAACUCCGAUUGCGAAGGCAGCUCACUGGACUGCAACUGACACUGAUGCUCGAAAGUGUGGGUAUCAAACAGGAUUAGAUACCCCAGUAGUC